rnacentral:lncRNA from 1 species
UAGGUAACAGGUACCAGCUACUGUCAGCAGGGAGGAAGGUAUGUGGUGACCACGAGUCCAGACCUGAGGGUCCUGACCCUCUAAUGCGGCCUCUCACCAGUGUUCGCAGAAACCCACCCGCUGAUUCAAUACGGGGACCAGGAACCUGCCAUGACAGUCACGACUCAGUCUGCCUGCACCUACAUGAUUAAAAAGCUUUAUUGCUCACACAAAGCCUGUUUGGUGGUCUCUUCAUAUGGAUGCGCAUAACAUUUGGUGCCGAAGACCCCGGACAGGGUGACUCCUUCGGGAGAUUGGUCCCCUCUCCUCACCCUCACUCCAUGAGAAGAUCCACCUACGACCUCAGGUCCUCAGACCAGCCCAAGGAACAUCUCACCAAUUUCAAACCGGGGGCCAGGCAUUUCUCCAGGACCUCCUCCCCCAGGAUCUUCCUUCAAGUGCCGGAAAUCUGGCCACUGGGCCAAGGAAUGUCCCAUCUGUGCGAGACCCCACUGGAAAUCAGACUGUUCAACUUGCCUGGCAACCACUCCCAGAGCCCCUGGAACUCUGGCCCAAGGCUCUCUGACUGACUCCUUCCCAGAUCUUCUCAGCUUAGCAGCUGAAGACUGACACUGCCUGAUCACCUCAGAAGCCUCCUGGACCAUCACAGAUGCUUUGGGUAACUCUUACAGUGGAGGGUAAGUCUGUCCCCUUCUUAAUCAAUACGGAGGCUACCCACUCCACAUUACUUUCUUUUCAAGGGCCUGUUUCCCUUGCCUCCAUAACUGUUGUGGGUAUUGUCGGCGAGGCUUCUAAACCGCUUAAAACUCCCCCACUCUGGUGCCAACUUGGACAACAUUCUUUUAUGCACUUUUUUAGUUAUCCCCACCUGUCCAGCUUCCUUAAUAGGCUGAGACAUUUUAACCAAAUUAUCUGCUUCCCUGAGUAUUCCUGGGCUGCAGCCACAUCUCUUUGCUGCACUUUUACCCAACUCAAGACCUGUUUCACAUCCUCCCCUUGUAUCUCCCCACCUUAAUCCACAAGUAUAAGAUACCUCUACUCCUACCUUGGCAACCGAUCAUGCACCCCUUAUCAUCCCAUUAAAAUGUAAUCACCCUUACCCCGCUCAAUGCCAAUAUCCCAUCCCACAGCAGGCUUUAAAAGGGUUAAAGCCUGUUAUCACCUGCCUGUUUCAACAUGGCCUCUUAAAGCCUACAAAUUCUCCUUACAACUCCCCUAUCCUACCCGUCCAGAAACCGGACAAGUCUUACAGGUUUGUUCAGGAUCUUCGUCUUGUUGAUCAAAUCGUCCUUCCCAUCCAUCCUAUAGUGCCAAACCCGUACACCCUCCUAUCUUCAAUACACCCUUCCACAACUCUAUUCUGUUAUCGACCUCAAAGAUGCCUUCUUUACUAUCCCCUUGCAUCCCUCCUCCCAGCCUCUUUUUGCCUUACUUGGACUGACUCUGACACCCACCAGUCCCAACAACUCACCUGGAUUUUUCUACCCCAAGGCUUCAGGGACAGCCCACAUUACUUUGGCCAGGCCCUUUCUCAUGAUCUGCUUUCUUUUCACCCAUCUACCUCCCACCUUAUUCAAUAUGUUGAUGAUCUUCUUCUUUGCAGCCCCUCUUACCAAUCUUCCCAGCAGGACACUAGCCUGCUUCUUCAACAUCUUUACUCAAAGGGGUACAAAGUAUUGCCCUCUGAGGCACAAAUUUCUUCCCCUAGCAUUACCUAUCUUGGUAUAAUGCUCCAUCAACAUACACAUACCCUUCCUGCAGACUCUGUUCAGUUAAUCUCCCAGACCCCAACCCCCACCACCAAACAACAACUCCCUUCCUUCUUAGGCAUUGUUGGAUAUUUCCAACUUUGGAUACCGGGCUUUGCUAUCCUAAUCAAACCACUUUACUAGCUCACAAAGGGUAAUUUAACUAAUCCCAUAGACCAUAAGUCUUUUCCCCAUUCUUCCUUUCACUCUCUCAAAAAGGACCUGGAGACAGCUCCCACACUAGCACUCCCCGACUCGUCCCAUCCUUUUUCCUUACACACAGCUGAAAUACAAGGCUGUGCUGCUAGAGUCCUCACACAGGAUCCAGGCCCACGACCUGUUGCCUUUAUCUUCCAGUCCUCCAGCAGGCUAGACAGGAAAUUCGCCAGGCUGCUAAUCUUCUCUUGCCUCCUCCAAACUCCCAGCCAUGUGAAGAUACCUUAGCUGGGCAAUCAGUCCUUGUCAAGUCUGACCCCUCACACUCUACAGCUUUGAUGGACUGGACCCUACCUGGUCAUUUAUAGCACCCCAACUGCCAUCCGUCUGCACGACCCUCCCCAUUGGAUUCACUGUUCCAGAAUAAAGCUGUGCCCAUCAGACAGCCAGCCUGAUCUCUCCUCUUCCUUCUGGAAGUCGCAAGUACUCACCCCUACUUCCCUUAAACUCACUCGCAUUUCUGAAGAACAAUAAUAACCCUUAUGAGCCUAAUACAUCUCUUCAUUCUAUUAAGUCUAUUUAUCCUUACCCUACUUUUUGCAACAGAGCUCUACGCAGUCACCCCCACUAUUUGGACUGUGCCCCCAAAAUUUGUCAUCUCCACUAUCUUCUGUCUAGUCAUACUCCUAUUCACCAUUCUCAAUGACUCAUAAAUGCCCUGCCCCUGUUUACACUGCCAGUUUACACUUUUCCUCCAAACCAUCAUAGUGGAUAUCUCCUGGUACUAUCCCCAAUCCGCCACUCUUGACUCCCUCUUGGAGUGGACAGAUGAUCUUUGCUGACAGGGCACCCUCCAAUACUUUCACCCUGAUGAAGUUCUAUUCUUUACUUUUAUACUCACUCUUAUUCUCGUUCCCAUUCUUAUGCCACCCUCUACCUCUCCUCAGCUAUCUCCACCACACUAUCAAUCUCACUCACUCUCUCCUAGCCAUUUCUAAUCCUUCUUAACAAACAAUUGCUUCCUUUGCAUUUCUCUUUCCUCCAAAACUGCUGAGGCCUUGACUUACUCACUGCUGAGAAAGGAGAACUCUGUAUAUUUUUAAAUGAAGAGUGUUGUUUUUACCUAAAUCAAUCUGGCCUGGCAUAUGACAACAUAAAAAAAACUCAAGGAUGGAGACCAAAAACUCACCAACCAAGCAAAUAAUUAUGCUGAACCCCCUUGGGCACUCUCUAAUUGGAUGUCCUGGGUCCUCCCAGUUCUUAGUCCUUUAAUGCCUGUUUUUCUCCUUCUCUUAUUCAGACCUUGUGUCUUCCGUUUAGUUUCUCAAUUCAUACAAAACUGCAUCCAGGCCAUUACCAAUCAUUCUAUAUGAGAAUUGCUCUUUCUAACAACCCCACAAUAUCACCCCUUACCACAAAAUCUUUCUUCAGUUUAAUCUCUCCCACUCUCUAGGUUCCUGUGUCACCCCUAAUCCUGCUUGAAGCAGCCCUGAGAAACAUCACCCAUUAUCUCUCCAUACCACCCCCAAAAAUUUUCGCUGCCCCAACAUUUCAUCACUAUUUUGUUUUGUUUUUCUUAUUAAUAUAAGAAGACAGGAAUGUCAGGCCUCUGAGCCCGAGCUAAGCCAUCAUAUCCCCUGUGACCUGCGCUUAUACAUCCAGAUGGCCUGAAGCAACUGAAGAACCACAAAGAAGUGAAAAUACCCAGUUCCUGCCUUAACUGAUGACAUUCCACCAUUGUAAUUUGUUCCUGCCCCACCCUAACUGAUCAGUUGACCUUGUGACAUUCCUUCUCCUGGACAAUAAAUCUCAGGAGCUCCCCACUGAGCACCUUGUGACCCCCGCCUGUACCCGCAAGAGGACAACCCCCUUUAACUGUAAUUUUCCACUACCUACACAAAUCCUAUAAAACCGCCCCAUCCCUAUCUCCCUUUGCUGACUCUUUUUUCAGACUCAGUCUGCCUGCACCCACAUGAUUAAAAAGCUUAAUUGCUCACACAAAGCCUGUUUGGUGGUCUCUUAACAUGAAUGCACGUAACACAACCACCUUCAGGGCUCAAGAAAUCCUCCUUCUCUGCCUCCUGAGUAGCUGGGACUGCAGGUGCACACCACCACCCCCAGUUAAUUUUUGUAUUUUUUGUAGAGA